CAAAGCAUAGCUUAACCUAAAGCAUCUGGCUUACACCCAGAAGAUCUCAAACCCAUUGAAUGCUUUGA
rnacentral:tRNA from 1 species